AACGCACCUUGCGCUCCUGGACUUGUUUCAGGAGCAUGCCUGUUUGAGUGUCAUGAAAUCAUCAACCACGUUGCUUUAGUGCGCCGUGGCUUGGACUUGGGGAUUUGCGGGCGUUCUGGCGUCGGCUUCCCUUGAAUGCAUUAGUCGGGCGCCCUUUGCUCGAGAAGUGUGAUAAUUAUCAUUCACUGAUCGACGAGGGACCUUGUCUCGGCUUCUAACCGCAUGCUUGCAUGCAUCUUUGACACAUCUGACCUCAAAUCAGGUAGGACUACCCGCUGAACUUAA
rnacentral:misc_RNA from 1 species